CCACAGCACAGAGAAGAUUAGCAUGGCCCCUGGGAAAGGAUGACAUACAAAUUGGUGAAGCGUUCCAUAUUUAA
ensembl:snRNA Gm24399 predicted gene, 24399